GGGCAUGUGUUCUAGUGGUAUGGUUCUUGCUUUAGGUGCAAGAAGUCCUUGAGUUCGAUUCUCAAAAUGCCCU
rnacentral:tRNA from 1 species